UACAGAGGUCUCGAGCGUUGUUCGGAUUCAUUGGGCGUAAAGGGUGCGUAGGUGGCGCUGUAAGUCGGGUGUGAAAUCCUGGGGCUUAACCCCGGAACUGCAUUCGAUACUGCAGUGCUUGAGGACUGGAGAGGAGACUGGAAUUCAUGGUGUAGCAGUGAAAUGCGUAGAGAUCAUGAGGAAGACCAGUGGCGAAAGGCGGGUCUCUGGACAGUUCCUGACACUGAGGCACGAAGGCCAGGGGAGCAAACGGG
rnacentral:rRNA from 1 species